rnacentral:lncRNA from 1 species
AGUUGUAGUUUGUUUUGACAUUUCUGUUUUAUUUAACCUAACCUAUGUUUUAUUGUGUUGUAUACAAGGAGUUGUAUAUUGAAAUUGAAUUGAUUCUUGUUUCAUUGAAUAUAGAGGAGUUGUUCUGUUGCAAGUUGUUCUAGUUUUGUUGUUUUAAAAUCUGCGAAAAACUAUUUAUAGAUAAUGGUGAACUUAAACAAGAAAUGGACAUGCAGUUUGCUGAUUACUUAAUUGUGUACUCACAACACAUAGGAUUUCUCUGACACAGUUUCCAGUACAGAACUGCCACAGGAAUCUCCAGUGGAGUUGCAACCGCUCUCACGGACGUCCACAAAUCAAGUUACAAAACUGUUACAUGACUCUAUUGGAGUUGCAACCGCAAUUGGAUAAAAGUGAAAUUCGAAUAAUGCCAGAAAGACUAUAACCGUCCAAAGUGAUAGUGUGAAAUUAAAAUCAAAUGAUUACGUAUAAAUCAUAUUUAUAAUAAUUAUAAAUAGUAGCUGUAUUUUUUAAAUAAACAGAUUUGAUAAGUUA